GAUGAACGCUGGCGGCGUGCCUAAUACAUGCAAGUCGAGCGAACAGACGAGGAGCUUGCUCCUCUGACGUUAGCGGCGGACGGGUGAGUAACACGUGGAUAACCUACCUAUAAGACUGGGAUAACUUCGGGAAACCGGAGCUAAUACCGGAUAAUAUAUUGAACCGCAUGGUUCAAUAGUGAAAGACGGUUUUGCUGUCACUUAUAGAUGGAUCCGCGCCGCAUUAGCUAGUUGGUAAGGUAACGGCUUACCAAGGCAACGAUGCGUAGCCGACCUGAGAGGAUGAUCGGCCACACUGGAACUGAGACAGGGUCCAGACUCCUAGGGGAGGCAGCAGUGGGGAAUAUUCGACAAUGGGCGAAAGCCUGAUGCAGCAAUGCCGCGUGGGUGAAGAAGGCCUUCGGAUUGUAAAGCUCUUUUGUUGGGAAAGAAAAGAUGUAGAUUAAUACCUCGCUGUUUUGACGGUACCUAAACAAAAAGCACCGGCUAACUUCGUG
rnacentral:rRNA from 1 species